rnacentral:rRNA from 1 species
AUUGAACGCUGGCGGCAUGCCUUACACAUGCAAGUCGAACGGUAACAGGUUAAGCUGACGAGUGGCGAACGGGUGAGUAAUGUAUCGGAACGUGCCCAGUCGUGGGGGAUAACUGCUCGAAAGAGCAGCUAAUACCGCAUACGACCUGAGGGUGAAAGCGGGGGAUCGCAAGACCUCACGCGAUUGGAGCGGCCGAUAUCAGAUUAGGUAGUUGGUGAGGUAAAGGCUCACCAAGCCGACGAUCUGUAGCUGGUCUGAGAGGACGACCAGCCACACUGGGACUGAGACAGGGCCCAGACUCCUACGGGAGGCAGCAGUGGGGAAUUUUGGACAAUGGGCGCAAGCCUGAUCCAGCCAUGCCGCGUGCGGGAAGAAGGCCUUCGGGUUGUAAACCGCUUUUGUCAGGGAAGAAAAGGUUCUGGCUAAUACCUGGGACUCAUGACGGUACCUGAAGAAUAAGCACCGGCUAACUACGUG